GCCCUAGUGGCGGAACUGGUAGACGCGCUAGACUCAAAAUCUGGUGAUGGCAACAUCGUGGGGGUUCGAGUCCCUCCUGGGGCA
rnacentral:tRNA from 1 species